AAUCUACUCCCUUCGUUCCAAAGUUCUUGUCUUAGAUUUGUGUAGAUACGGAUAUAUCUAAUACUAAAACAUGACUAAAUACAUCCGUAUUUAGACAAAUCUAAGAUAAGAAUUUUGGGACGGAUGGAGUAUGAA
rfam:Triticum aestivum genome assembly, contig: Triticum_aestivum_CS42_TGACv1_scaffold_003522_1AL